rnacentral:lncRNA from 1 species
ACGUCGAAUAUAAUUAGGAAUUGAAAAAAUUAUGCGAUUUUUCAAUAUUAUUUGCUUAGUGAACGAAAGGGCUCAAAAUCAACGGCUGAAAAUAAAAAUCUUACAAAACGUGAUAAUAUGACAUUAAAAUUUUAGUUCAAAGAUAUUGAUCUUGUUUUAUAUAAUAUAAAGAAUUUUCUAUCAAAAUUUCACAUGAUUUGAAUAUUUUUAUACCGUUAAACUUGCAAACGACUCACUACGGCUAUUAAAAUUAUUAAUUUUGAGCCCCUUCGAUCACUAGGCAAAUAAUAUUAAAAAAUUAUAAAAUUUAUUUUCUAGAUACUUCAAAUACUCUAGAUCAAGUUUAACGGAGCCAUCGACGAUUUGAAAGUCGUAACAUCAAAAAUGACCCGGAAGCACGGAAGGCUCUCUGCUUCCAAAAGUAUAGUAGCCUCACUCUCUCUCUCUAUAUAUAUAUAUAUUUGAGAGAUAAGUAGCACGUUAUCCGUUUUGUUUAUUUUAUUUAGAAAUAAACUUAGCUGGAAAUGUGAAUCAAUUAGGAUUCAAAUUUAAAAUCUCAGGUACCAAUCAUCAAAUUCUUUGUCAUUUGCUCUAGGGACGAUCGGUUGUUUGAUGCGAGUGUUAUACAUUGCGUUUUU